GACGAACGCUGGCGGCGUGCUUAACACAUGCAAGUCGAACGGAAAGGCCCUGCUUUUGUGGGGUGCUCGAGUGGCGAACGGGUGAGUAACACGUGAGUAACCUGCCCUUGACUUUGGGAUAACUUCAGGAAACUGGGGCUAAUACCGGAUAGGAUCUCCUGCUGCAUGGUGGGGGUUGGAAAGUUUCGGCGGUUGGGGAUGGACUCGCGGCUUAUCAGCUUGUUGGUGGGGUAGUGGCUUACCAAGGCUUUGACGGGUAGCCGGCCUGAGAGGGUGACCGGCCACAUUGGGCCUGAGAUACGGCCCAGACUCCUACGGGAGGCAGAAGUGGGGAAUAUUGCACAAUGGGAGGAAGCCUGAUGCAGCAACGCCGCGUGCGGGAUGACGGCCUUCGGGUUGUAAACCGCUUUCGCCUGUGACGAAGCGUGAGUGACGGUAAUGGGUAAAGAAGCACCGGCUAACUACGUG
rnacentral:rRNA from 1 species